ACCUCGGGCUCGCCGGACUAGUUUUUCCGGUGGCCGAAAACUGGAGAUUUUCAAUCUCCUUGUUCUCCGUCAUUUCUCAAUCAUUUUCUUCAUAUUUUAUAUCAAAAUGAAGCCCUAAGCAUGUAGUUUCACGUUAAACUACUUUAAGGCUCUAAAAACUACGAAAUCUCACCGGAGAAAUUCCAAGAAAACCGGCCAAUUUCGAACUCAAGGAUCCCGACGUCCAAAACCUUCAAACGAAGCACUCCGAGCUUCCUUGGGACCUCACUAAACUCACUAUAAGCUUAGAAUUCCCUGAAAAUCAACAUAUCACGAAUGCAUGAACAGUGACAUAAAACUGGGGUUCGGGUUUCACGUGAUUUCGAAGGUUUUACGUUCUAAAACUAGUACCAAACGACUCAGGAGAUCGAAAGGAUGAAGAACCUUACCUUUUUGGCGUCGAUCCGCGAUGUUUAGAGGGAAUUUGGUCUCGUCCGUACGGUUUCGAGAGGGAGAGAGUGACUGAAACAGAGAGGAGAGAGAGAGAGCACGGGGUGAGAGAGGGAGAAAGGAUUGAUUGAGUGUAUGUGUGUGGUCCAUCUCAAGCCAUCACCAUCCAUUUCUUUUUCUAACUCCCUAACCACAUAAAUUACAAACCAAUUUUAAUCCAACUUAAAUUAUUUUCCAAAAGCUUAUGAAAUAUGUGUAUUUAGUCCAAAUAAUAUCACACACACACAUACCUUAAUACCCGUCAAGGGUAAUUCUGUCAUUUCACGUCCCCGAUAUAAAGAAUCCCGGGACGGGCUGUGACAUUCAACCAUAAAAAUUUUGAAGAUCGAUUGGGAAAUUGGAUGAGAGAUUAAUGGGUGAAUAAUAACAUAAUUAUUUUUUAUAAAGAGAGAUUUGAUGGUAUUAGUAAUGAAGUUGUCAUUCAACAUUUCAAAACAUGAAACACGUCAAGAGAUAUUGUAAUAAAUUGUAUAGAAAAAACUUAGUUGAGUACAUUCUUGAACUUUUUAAUCUGUGACUUUAUUAUUUGAGGAUGCCUCCAUCCAUGUAGAUCUCUAGCUUCGUCCUUGGGUGAAUGGGUGAACUUCUUCUUUUCCGCCUAAUCUUUUCCUUCUUCAAAAAAAACAAAAAAACAAAAUUGAAUGGCAUGAAUUUUUGACAGAAUUUGGAAAUUCAAUUACACUAUGUUUGGAUGAGGGAAAUAAACUUGGAAUUUGUGUAAAAAUCAGAAUUUAUAAAUUGACAUGCACCAGGAUUCAUAAACAUAGAAAUUUAGAAUUUCCGUGUGGGAAAAAAAAGGAAUUUGGGAUAUCCAAUUCUCAAGUUUAAAUUUCAUGUAAAUAGGUGUCAUUUCCCAAUUUCUAUGAUUGAGAGUAGCCUUGGCAAUUCCUGACAUGACACGAAACGA
rnacentral:lncRNA from 1 species